UACAGAGGUCUCAAGCGUUGUUCGGAUUCAUUGGGCGUAAAGGGUGCGUAGGCGGCGUGGUAAGUCGGAUGUGAAAUCUCGGAGCUUAACUCCGAAACUGCAUUCGAUACUGCCGUGCUUGAGGACUGGAGAGGAGACUGGAAUUUACGGUGUAGCGGUGAAAUGCGUAGAUAUCGUAAGGAAGACCAGUGGCGAAGGCGGGUCUCUGGACAGUUCCUGACGCUGAGGCACGAAGGCCGGGGGGAGCAAACGGG
rnacentral:rRNA from 1 species